rnacentral:rRNA from 1 species
CACCAAGGCGACGAUGGGUAGUUGGUCUGAGAGGAUGAUCAGCCACACUGGAACUGAAACACGGUCCAGACUCCUACGGGAGGCAGCAGUGGGGAAUAUUGCGCAAUGGGGGAAACCCUGACGCAGCGACGCCGUGUGAGGGAAGAAGGCCUUCGGGUCGUAAACCUCUGUCAGAAGGGAAGAACCGCCGGGGGGCGAACACCCCCUCGGCCUGACGGUACCUUCAGAGGAAGCGCCGGCUAACUCCGUGCCAGCAGCCGCGGUAAUACGGAGGGCGCGAGCGUUAAUCGGAAUCACUGGGCGUAAAGGGCGCGUAGGCGGCCGAUCAAGUCAGAGGUGAAAGCCCUCGGCUCAACCGAGGAAUUGCCUUUGAUACUGGUCGGCUGGAGUGCAGGAGAGGGUGGCGGAAUUCCCGGUGUAGGGGUGAAAUCCGUAGAGAUCGGGAGGAACACCAGUGGCGAAGGCGGCCACCUGGACUGCAACUGACGCUGAGGCGCGAAAGCAUGGGGAGCAAACAGGAUUAGAUACCCUGGUAGUCCAUGCCCUAAACGAUGGACGCUAGGUGUCGGGGGGUCACCCUCGGCGCCGGAGCUAACGCAUUAAGCGU